rnacentral:rRNA from 1 species
GAUGAACGCUCGCUGUGUGCCUAAUACAUGCAUGUUGAACGGGAUGUAGCAAUACAUUCAGUAGCGAAUGGGUGAGUAACACGUACCUAACCUACCUUUAAGACUGGGAUAACUAUUGGAAACAAUAGCUAAUACCGGAUAUAGUUAUUUAUCGCAUGAUGAGUAAUAGAAAGGAGCUUCACAGCUUCACUUAAAAAUGGGGGUGCGGAACAUUAGUUAGUUGGUAGGGUAAUGGCCUACCAAGACGAUGAUGUUUAGCCGGGCCGAGAGGCUGUACGGCCACACUGGGACUGAGAUACGGCCCAGACUCCUACGGGAGGCAGCAGUAAGGAAUUUUCCACAAUGAGCGAAAGCUUGAUGGAGCGACACAGCGUGCAGGAUGAAGUUCUUCGGAAUGUAAACUGCUGUUGUAAGGGAAGAAAAAAUAGAAUAGGAAAUGAUUUUAUCUUGACGGUACCUUAUUAGAAAGCGACGGCAAACUAUGUGCCAGCAGCUGCGGUAAUACAUAGGUCGCAAGCGUUAUCCGGAAUUAUUGGGCGUAAAGCGUCCGUAGGUUUUUUGCUAAGUCUGGAGUUAAAUGCUGAAGCUCAACUUCAGUCCGCUUUGGAUACUGGCAAAAUAGAAUUAUAAAGAGGUUAGCGGAAUUCCUAGUGAAGCGGUGGAAUGCGUAGAUAUUAGGAAGAACACCAAUAGGCGAAGGCAGCUAACUGGUUAUAUAUUGACACUAAGGGACGAAGGCGUGGGGAGCAAACAGG